CACCAGACUCCUACGGGAGGCAGCAGUGGGGAAUAUUGCACAAUGGGGGAAACCCUGAUGCAGCGACGCCGCGUGAGCGAUGAAGUAUUUCGGUAUGUAAAGCUCUAUCAGCAGGGAAGAAGAUGACGGUACCUGACUAAGAAGCCCCGGCUAACUACGUGCCAGCAGCCGCGGUAAUACGUAGGGGGCAAGCGUUAUCCGGAUUUACUGGGUGUAAAGGGAGCGUAGACGGCGAUGCAAGCCAGAUGUGAAAGCCCGGGGCUCAACCCCGGGACUGCAUUUGGAACUGUGUGGCUGGAGUGUCGGAGAGGCAGGCGGAAUUCCUAGUGUAGCGGUGAAAUGCGUAGAUAUUAGGAGGAACACCAGUGGCGAAGGCGGCCUGCUGGACGAUGACUGACGUUGAGGCUCGAAAGCGUGGGGAGCAAACAGGAUUAGAUACCCCGGUAGG
rnacentral:rRNA from 1 species